rnacentral:ncRNA from 1 species
GGUGCACUUGGUUGUGCUUAAUUGGGAAUGUGAGUGAGAAUCUCCGACUGUCCCGCAGCAGUGAACUCCGUUAUGGUUUCUAAGUAACAACGCCAUUGCUCAUUUGAGUGAGAAGGCACUUGGGAAUGGAGGAAAGUCUGAAGACCAGCCUUUGACAGA